rnacentral:rRNA from 1 species
UACGUAGGGGGCAAGCGUUGUCCGGAAUCAUUGGGCGUAAAGAGCGUGUAGGCGGCCAGAAAAGUCCGCUGUGAAAACUCGAGGCUCAACUUCGAGCUGUCGGUGGAAACUUUCUGGCUAGAGUCCGGAAGAGGAGAAUGGAAUUCCUGGUGUAGCGGUGAAAUGCGCAGAUAUCAGGAGGAACACCGGUGGCGAAGGCGGCUUUCUGGACAGUAACUGACGCUGAGGCGCGAAAGCUAGGGGAGCAAACAGG